UGGUAACAAUUAGAUGAAACGGGCGAAAACAAAACAACAAGAAGGAUGAAACGAGGUGGAAUUCAAAUCCUUAGAUUAAACGAAAUAGUAAAAGCCAGUUUCACGUCCGCGUUCCCAAACUCAUACUCCUUUUCUCUCUCUCUUCGAAUCCAAUUGAUUUGCAUACUUCUAAAACCCUAACUAUUGAUUAUGCAACCCCAAACGGUGCCGCUUUGUUUUGUGUGUGGUUUGAGUUCAAUUUGAUUUCAUACAAUUUUUUUAAUUAAGGUUGAGUUCACUCUAUCUAUUCGGUUCUUCAAGAUCCAGUUUGCGAGCUGGCUAUGGACUACGAGCCCUAGAUAGUAGUGGAACCGAUGAUGAUCUUUCUCCAUCACAACAAAAUAGGAUUUCUAGAGGUAGUGGUUACAUUACUGGAAAUGGAAGAUCUGCUGUCACUGGUUUUGUUCCCUACCAGAGGAUGUACGGUGAAACAGAUAUGGAGGCCCAAAUUCACCGACCUGAGCAAGAAGCAUACAUUUCGGUUCUAAGAGCCUUUAAAGCUCAAGCUGAUGCCAUUACAUGGGUAGUAUUUUGUUAUCAAGAAACAUUUCUAUUCUACCACUUGGAAUAUUGUAUGAUAUGUAUUUAUUGGGUUGUAAUGUGGGCGAAGAAUGUCUUAAAAUUUUCAUGUGCAAGACGACAAGUUUGUUCUUCCAAGCACCCACUAAGAAAUAGUUAAGGAUACUAAGAAGGCAAUUUCAAAAGUA